CCAGACAGACAGGUUAGAGUCACAAUGGUCCUGGAGGACCAGACAGACAGGUUAGAGUCACAAUGGUCCUGGAGGACCAGACAGACAGGUUAGAGUCACAAUGGUCCUGGAGGACCAGACAGACAGGUUAGAGUCACAAUGGUCCUGGAGGACCAGACAGACAGGUUAGAGUCACAAUGGUCCUGGAGGACCAGACAGACAGGUUCGAGUCACAAUGGUCCUGGAGGACCAGACAGACAGGUUCGAGUCACAAUGGUCCUGGAGGACCAGACAGACAGGUUAGAGUCACAAUGGUCCUGGAGGACCAGACAGACAGGUUAGAGUCACAAUGGUCCUGGAGGACCAGACAGACAGGUUAGAGUCACAAUGGUCCUGGAGGACCAGACAGACAGGUUAGAGUCACAAUGGUCCUGGAGGACCAGACAGACAGGUUAGAGUCACAAUGGUCCUGGAGGACCAGACAGACAGGUUAGAGUCACAAUGGUCCUGGAGGACCAGACAGACAGGUUAGAGUCACAAUGGUCCUGGAGGACCAGACAGACAGGUUAGAGUCACAAUGGUCCUGGAGGACCAGACAGUACAGUAUUAUUAGACAUUUCCAUUCUAUGGGUUAGAUCAGUAGACCUACAGUAAGAGAUCCACGAGACAGACUGUUUAAUAAAGAGUCAUACUGCUGUACUGUACCGUCCAGUCUGCAUCCUCCCAGCCAAUCAGGUCUGUUUAUAAUAAUGAACCAUCCUACUGUACUGUACCGUCCAGUCUACAUCCUCCCAGCCAAUCAGGUCUGUUUAUAAUAAUGAACCAUCCUACUGUACUGUACCUUCCAGUCUACAUCCUCCCAGCCAAUCAGGUCUGUUUAUAAUAAUGAACCAUCCUACUGUACUGUACCUUCCAGUCUACAUCCUCCCAGCCAAUCAGGUCUGUUUAUAAUAAUGAACCAUCCUACUGUACUGUACCUUCCAGUCUACAUCCUCCCAGCCAAUCAGGUCUGUUUAUAAUAAUGAACCAUCCUACUGUACUGUACCUUCCAGUCUACAUCCUCCCAGCCAAUCAGGUCUGUUUAUAAUAAUGAACCAUCCUACUGUACUGUACCUUCCAGUCUACAUCCUCCCAGCCAAUCAGGUCUGUUUAUAAUAAUGAACCAUCCUACUGUACUGUACCUUCCAGUCUACAUCCUCCCAGCCAAUCAGGUCUGUUUAUAAUAAUGAACCAUCCUACUGUACUGUACCUUCCAGUCUACAUCCUCCCAGCCAAUCAG